GAGUCAGUGGCAUAGUGGUUUGUUUGAGCAUUGGACUAUGACUCUGGAGAUCAGGGUUUAAUUCCCAGCUUGGUCA